AUUGAACGCUGGCGGCAUGCCUUACACAUGCAAGCCGAAUGGUAACAGGUUAAGCUGACGAGUGGCGAACGGGUGAGUAAUACAUCGGAACGUGCCCAGUAGUGGGGGAUAGCCCGGCGAAAGCCGGAUUAAUGCCGCAUACGACCUAAGGGUGAAAGGGGGGGAUCGCAAGACCUCUCGCUAUUGGAGCGGCCGAUGUCAGAUUAGGUAGUUGGUGGGGUAAAGGCCCACCAAGCCGACGAUCUGUAGCUGGUCUGAGAGGACGACCAGCCAAACUGGGACUGGGAACCGGCCCAGACUCCUACGGGAGGCAGCAGUGGGGAAUUUUGGACAAUGGGCGCAAGCCUGAUCCAGCCAUGCCGCGUGCGGGAAGAAGGCCUUCGGGUUGUAAACCGCUUUUGUCAGGGAAGAAAUCCUUUGGGUUAAUACCUCGGGGGGAUGACGGUACCUGAAGAAUAAGCACCGGCUAACUACGUGCCAGCAGCCGCCGUAA
rnacentral:rRNA from 1 species